UACGUAGGGUGCGAGCGUUAAUCGGAAUUACUGGGCGUAAAGCGUGCGCAGGCGGUUCGCCAAGUCAGGUGUGAAAUCCCCGGGCUUAACCUGGGAAUUGCGCUUGAAACUAGCGGGCUUGAGUGCGGGCAGAGGGGGGUGGGAAUUCCAACGGUGUAGCAGUUGAAAUGCGUAGAGAUGUGGAGGAAGCACCGGAUGGCGAAGGCAGCCCCCUGGGUCGACACUGACGCUCGAUGCACGAAAGCGUGGGGAGCAAACAGG
rnacentral:rRNA from 1 species